GAUGAACGCUGGCGGCGUGCCUAAUACAUGCCAGUCGAGCGAACGGACGAGAAGCUUGCUUCUCUGAUGUUAGCGGCGGACGGGUGAGUAACACGUGGAUAACCUACCUAUAAGACUGGGAUAACUUCGGGAAACCGGAGCUAAUACCGGAUGAUAUUUUGAACCGCAUGGUUCAAAAGUGAAAGACGGUCUUUCUGUCACUUAUAGAUGGAUCCGCGCUGCAUUAGCUAGUUGGUAAGGUAACGGCUUACCAAGGCAACGAUGCAUAGCCGACCUGAGAGGGUGAUCGGCCACACUGGAACUGAGACACGGUCCAGACUCCUACGGGAGGCAGCAGUAGGGAAUCUUCCGCAAUGGGCGAAAGCCUGACGGAGCAACGCCGCGUGAGUGAUGAAGGUCUUCGGAUCGUAAAACUCUGUUAUUAGGGAAGAACAUAUGUGUAAGUAACUGUGCACAUCUUGACGGUACCUAAUCAGAAAGCCACGGCUAACUACGUG
rnacentral:rRNA from 1 species